UUAUUCUGCCUCUAAGCUGUUGCUGCAAGUGUAAAACUGAACUAUAAAUAAAAUGCGCUUUGACUCUUUUGUUUACACUACUGCUUUUUUUAAAAAAAAGUUUAAUAAUGUUAGCACUUGCUCUCUGAGGAAUGGCCCUAUCUGCAACAGAUAGAACGAAGCGGAGUUUACUUCGCACAAAUUCAACUCCACCACAGUUCUCCGGUAGGUCCAGUGAAACGUGACAACACCCUUUAUCUCCCCCCUCCCAACCCACUACCACUCAGAUCGAGCUCAGGAAGCUAAUCUGUUCUUCGCCGCGAAAGGGAAAGUUGUUCCUUGUAGCAAUUGUUCGUGAAAUAAGGACACUGUGGUCGAUUUUAGAAGCGUGAGUUUUUCUUGUUAUAUGUUCGUCUCUGACCGCUACGCUGCGCUGGAGAAGGAACAGUAAUGGUGACAUCCUGCAAGUUUUCUAGCAGAUUAAGAUGAAAUCAAAGGAAACUUUGAGUACUUCAGUGAUCCAUUUCAUGAGGGAAAGGUCUAGAUUUCCAACAUGGAAAAUUCAGCCAACCUAACCAUUUCUUAGUUCAGGAAAUGUAUCAAACCUUUAAAAGAAAACCUAUUGAGCAUUAUGUUAUACUUAACAGAUUCUCCCAAGAUUUCAGUCCUCUGUGUCUGCCCAAAAUACAAGUAUAACGUCACGGAUAUGGAUUCAAAGAUUAAGUCAAAUUUGAAGUGUUGCAUUUCCUGCCUUGAUUCACUGUGCAAUCUGCUCUGAUGAGGUGAAUUUAAUGUCAGCUUGGCUUAUAGUCUCUGGGUUACAGUCUGGAUUCACAAACAGGCAAUGCUGUUGCCUAGGAACAGAGAUAUUAACAAAGUGACAUCAGCAGUACUUGAUGUCAUCCACUGGCAUAUUCUUAUCUUUAUCCUGCAGUGUACAUGCUUUCAACUACUGAUUAACUUUAAAAUACCUGGACUGAACAACUUUCGUGUACCAAUAAAAUCAGGCAUUUAGUAAAUGAACAGAUUGAAUUGAAAGUACAUUAGCACAGAUUAAAUACAACCUCAUUCUGUUUAUAUUGCAUCAUGUCCCCAAAAUAGGAUGAUCAGACCCAGUCUAACAUUGGCACUUGUUCAUAAACAGGAAACAGAUAUGACUGUAAUGGGGGUCCCUAUCCUGAAACAAAAGAUCCUGCACAAAAGUUGGCAACAUGAUAAUUGGAGGCUGUAGUGCUAUACCAGCAUGUUGACUUUAAAAUUGUGUACAGUAGCAUUAUGGUUAUGUUACUGGACUAGUAAUACAAAGGCCUAAUUCAGAAACAGGCGUUGAAAUCCCAGUUAAUGAAAUAAAUCUGCAAUAUAGAGUUAGUAAAGAUGACCAUAAAAUGAUUAGAUUGUUCAAAAAAUCCAUCUGCUUCACUAAUAGGGUAUAAAGUCUGCCAAUCUUACUGGUUUGCCUUUAUGCGACUCUAGACAAACUUAUUUGACUCUGAAUAGCAUACUGAAAGGGCCUUGUAAUGACUCAGUUGUGCCAAAUUUCUGCAAAACCACAAUAGAAAUAAAAGUGGAUGAUCUACCAGGCAUCAAUGUGUUUUUUCAGAAUACUAAAAACACAUCCAACCAAUCAACCUUACAAAGUCCACCUUCAUAAACAUCUGGGGACAUGUGCCAAGAUUGGAAGAGAUGUCCCACAACCUGACAUGGCAAUACUCAUGGAAUUAUACCUCUCAGCCAAUCUGCAAGACUCCUUCAUAACUUCCCUGAGUAUAUAUGUGCUAUGACAUGCUUAGCAGAGGUGGUAGCAUGGUGGUAUAUAGUCAGAAGGAGUUGGUAAUAGAAGUGCUCAGUAUUUAAUGCAGUUCCCAUAAAGUCUCAUCAGUUCAAACAUGGUCAAGAAAUCCUCCUGCUGAUUAUCACCCAUCUGUCUAUCUCAGUUGAUGACCAAACAGUGUGCACUUCUAUGUACUGGAAGAACACUGGAAGUUGCAAAGGCACAGGAUAUGGCCCUUGGGUGGGAGACAAAUCAUACCAACGUCAUGUGGGUGAUUUCAUUAUCCAUCAGCAAGGUUAGCUCAGAAUAGACUGAAUAGACUGGCUGAAUUCUGCAGAAUAGCGUUGUCUGAUUGGGUCUGUGACUGUGAUGAGAGAACCAAUAUAAGUGAAAAUUGUACUUGACCAUAAUUUACAUGUGACAGCUGCAUGUGUCUGUGACAGUGCUGAGGACUGACCACUGCACAACCCUUAUACAGGUAAAGUCCUAUCUUCUUACCAAGGAAACCUUCCAUUCAGAUUUGUGGCAGCACUACCUUGCUAAAUAGGAUAGUCUGAGAACAGCUCAAACUGGGUAUGCAUGAGUUGCUGUGCAUUAUCAUCAAUAGUAGACUGGGAUUCUGCCACAAUCUGUAACCUUAUGGCACAGUAUAUCCACAACCUUACCAGUACCAUCAAGUUAGUGGACUAAUCCUGGUUCAAUGUGAAGUGCAAGAGGGCAUGCCAGGAGCAGCACCAGUGAACCUAAAAAUGAGGUGCUGAUCUGGUGAGGCUACAGCACAUGUGCUAAACAGUGGAGCCAGCAUGCUAAAUGUGGAAAUAAGGGAUUCAAUAAGAAGGAUGAGAUCAAUGUUCUGCAGUCCUCUCGCAUCCAAUCAUGGUGUGACUGUGGACAAUUACACAAACAAUGGGAAGAGGAUUCUCAGAGAUCCACUUUGGUCAAUGGUUGUGGUCCACAGGUUAUCAACUUGAUUCACUCAGUAUGAAGUCAAGAAAUUACUGAUAGCACUGAGUACAACAAAAUCCAUGGAUCCUGGCAAUACCAGCAAUAUUAUUGAAGGCAUGCUCCAGCCCUAGUUGCGCCCCUGAGUCAAGAUUAUCCGUUCAUUUGCAACCCUGGAAUCUGACUAACAUAAUGGAAAAUUACCCAGGUUAGCUUCAAAAUUCAGGGCAAGUCGAGUCUAGCCAAUUACAAUCCCAUCAGUUCCAAUCAUUGAGAAAUGAUAAAAGGCAUUGAUGAUAAUACUAUCAAACAGUCCUUAUGAGUAACCUGUUUGCUGAUGCUUAGUUUGUGUUCCAUUGGGAGCAUUAGGUUCCAGACCUCAAUAUAGCAUGGUUCAAAGCUACACAAAAAUGCUGAAUUCCAAAUGUGAAGUUAUGUUAGAAUGACUUGACUUGACAUCAAGGCAUUCUUUGAUCAAGUACGUUCUCACAAAGCUAGGCAAAUGUAAAGUCAAGGGGAAGAAAACUAGAGCACGAGAUAGCACAAAAGAAGAUGAUUGAGGUUAUUAGAGGCCAAUCAUGUCAGCCUGAUCUUGACUACAAGAGUUCCUCAGAGCAAUGCGCUAGGCCCAUCACUGACCUUGUCUUCAUCAUACAUGUUGAUGUUUACAGAUGAUCACUGUCAUCUUCCAUGCCUGCAAUGAAGACCAAAUAAUGUUAGGGAAAUAAUAUCAGAUUACACUAAUGUCAGACAGUGACUCAAGAGAAAGUAAUUACCUAGCUUUGACAUUCAAUGGCUUUGCUGAAUUCCUCACUAUCAACAUCUCAGGGGUUUAUCAUACACCAGAAACAUAACAAGACAAGUGCCAUAAAUACUGUAGCUACAAGAACUGAUUAUAAAGUGGGUAUUCUGCAGGAAGUGACUCAUUCCUGAAAACCCAUAUCUAUAAAAAUACAAGACAAGAAUGUGAUGGAAUCUAUUCCUCUUGACUGGAUAAGUGCAGCUCAAAUAACAACCACAAGGCUCUACACUACCCAAAGAAAGCUUGAUUGGUACAGCAUCCACCACCUUGAAGAUUUAUGGUGUCAUAGCUACACCAUAGUCUGUAUCAGCUACAAGAUAUAAUGCAGUGAUUUAUCAAGGCUUCUUCAACAUUACUUCUAAAUCAAAAACCUUUAAAUAUAAAUAUAUGCUGGAAAGCAUAGAUGGAUUCUACAGCUGAAAUCUAUCUUCUGAAACAACCUGCUUACCACUGCUUCAUUUCUUUUCUAACCAGCUCCAGUUGUUUAGUGUUGGUAUCAUGGCUGCCAUUUCUACUUCUCUCAGGAUAAACUUAUUAUAAAAUAAGAUGAAUCGAUAAGUAAUUUUAAAAUAUCUGCAUGAGGACCUGUACAUGACAUGCACAUAUGUAUAUAUCUUGAGCAAAAGGUUAGUUUUCACUUUUUCAUUUGGAGUUUAAAUUGGACUUAAAUUGAAAUUAGAAUGAAUAUACAGAAUACUUCAGGCAGGUAGUGAUGAGAAUCUUGCCUGGAAUAAGAUUUAGGAUAAUAGUAGCCAUGUUAUUCUUCUUGACUCAUUGGAGUAGGUGUAGCAAACCAAUGGACUGAGGGCUGUGUGUGACUCCAAGUCUUGGAAAUCUGGGCCCUGGAUCAAAGAUAACCCCACAUGAAUUUUCCUUAUUUGCUGACUUAUUCUGUUUGAAUUGUGUAGAUCAAGAGUAGAUUUUGGAAAUUAAAACAUUCAAUGCUGUUGCGCAUUUGUUUUUAAAUCCGAAACCAGCAAAUAAAGUUAUUUUAAUAUCAAUAACUUAUGAUAGAAUCAAGGCAAGGAGAUCACAGAUUGAAAUUUUAUAGCCCUAAAAUUACUAGGAUUGUGCUGUGAGGAGCCAUGGACAGGAUAUGAGCUGUAUCCUUGCUUCAUUUGGAUUUCAUCUAAUUUGGACUGGAUAAUAGUCAACCAUAUUAUUUUAUCACAAAUUAUAUUUGUAUUAUCAUGUUCCAAGGCCCAAUACAUUGUAUGUGCUUCUGGUAUAGAGUGCUGAGUGAAUCAUGCAGAUUAGUGUCCACAGUACUGAGGUUUUCUUUUGAAAGCAAUCAUUUGUGCCUUCAAGGUAAAGGAAGAUUUUAAAGAUAGACCAAGAUUAUUCACUACUGUGCAGUGUUACUGGCUAUUAAGAUCAAUGUACUAUUGUCCUUAGUUAAUCAUACACAGGUAUGGUAAGUAAAUGACAGUUACAUUGUUUAUAAUAACAAACUAGUUUAUCACAAUCUCCAAGGAUAACCAGCAGUAGUAUCAAAGAGUUCUGUAUUCUUUUGAGGUACCAUAAUUCCCCA